rnacentral:tRNA from 1 species
GAGAUAUUAGUAAAAUGCUAUUACACUACUUUGUCAAGGUAGAUUCGCGUGUUAGACCCCCGCAUAUCUUA